CUCCUUCCUGCUUUAGUGGAGAGGGAUAGCUGCUUCAAAUUCAGCUCUUCCCACUAUCUUCUCUGACCAACACUAUAUCAUUCAAGUUUCCUGUAUAGGACUGGGGUGAGAUCCAUCCAAUUUUUUCAUUUAUUCUUUUGUUUAUUGGGAUUCUUUCCCCAUUUUUUAUAUAUUUGGUUUUUUUUGCCUUUUUUUUUCUAAUUUUUUCUAUUAUUAUUUUUGACAUUUUUUCCUCAGGAUUGGAAUAAUAUAGGCUAUUUUGUCUGUACAGACUGCCAUUGGUGGAUCCACC